AGUGAACGCUGGCGGUAGGCCUAACACAUGCAAGUCGAACGGCAGCACAGUAAGAGCUUGCUCUUACGGGUGGCGAGUGGCGGACGGGUGAGGAAUACAUCGGAAUCUACUUUUUCGUGGGGGAUAACGUAGGGAAACUUACGCUAAUACCGCAUACGACCUACGGGUGAAAGCAGGGGAUCUUCGGACUUUGCGCGAUUGAUUGAGCCGAUGUCGGAUUAGCUAGUUGGCGGGGUAAAGGCCCACCAAGGCGACGAUCCGUAGCUGGUCUGAGAGGAUGAUCAGCCACACUGGAACUGAGACACGGUCCAGACUCCUACGGGAGGCAGCAGUGGGGAAUAUUGGACAAUGGGCGCAAGCCUGAUCCAGCCAUACCGCGUGGGUGAAGAAGGCCUUCGGGUUGUAAAGCCCUUUUGUUGGGAAAGAAAAGCAGCAGGUUAAUACCCCGCUGUUCUGACGGUACCCAAAGAAUAAGCACCGGCUAACUUCGUG
rnacentral:rRNA from 1 species